AUUGAUUUUAUGCUUGCAUAAAUGAUUUUUGGAUUCGGAGCGAGUGGCGAACUGGUGAGUAACACGUGGGUAACCUGCCCCAAAGCGGGGGAUAACAUUUGGAAACAAGUGCUAAUACCGCAUAAUUAGUUGGAACCGCAUGGUUCCAACUUGAAAGAUGGCUCUGCUAUCACUUUGGGAUGGACCCGCGCCGUAUUAGUUAGUUGGUGAGAUAAAAGCCCACCAAGACGAUGAUACGUAGCCGACCUGAGAGGGUAAUCGGCCACAUUGGGACUGAGACACGGCCCAGACUCCUACGGGAGGCAGCAGUAGGGAAUCUUCCACAAUGGACGAAAGUCUGAUGGAGCAACGCCGCGUGAGUGAUGAAGGUUUUCGGAUCGUAAAACUCUGUUGUUAAAGAAGAACAAGUGUUAGAGUAACUGUUAACACUUUGACGGUAUUUAACCAGAAAGCCACGGCUAACUACGUGCCAGCAGCCGCGGUAAUACGUAGGUGGCAAGCGUUGUCCGGAUUUAUUGGGCGUAAAGCGAGCGCAGGCGGUUUUGUAAGUCUGCUGUGAAAGCCCUCAGCUCAACUGAGGAAGUGCAGUGGAAACUACAAAACUUGAGUACAGAAGAGGAAAGUGGAACUCCAUGUGUAGCGGUGAAAUGCGUAGAUAUAUGGAAGAACACCAGUGGCGAAGGCGGCUUUCUGGUCUGUUACUGACGCUGAGGCUCGAAAGCAUGGGUAGCGAACAGGAUUAGAUACCCUGGUAGUCCAUGCCGUAAACGAUGAAUACUAGGUGUUGGAGGGUUUCCGCCCUUCAGUGCCGCAGCUAACGCAUUAAGUAUUCCGCCUGGGGAGUACGACCGCAAGGUUGAAACUCAAAGGAAUUGACGGGGGCCCGCACAAGUGGUGGAGCAUGUGGUUUAAUUCGAUGCUACGCGAAGAACCUUACCAGCUCUUGACAUCUUCUGCCAACCCAAGAGAUUGGGCGUUCCCUUCGGGGACAGAAUGACAGGUGGUGCAUGGUUGUCGUCAGCUCGUGUCGUGAGAUGUUGGGUUAAGUCCCGCAACGAGCGCAACCCUUAUUAUUAGUUGCCAGCAUUUAGUUGGGCACUCUAGUGAGACUGCCGGUGAUAAA
rnacentral:rRNA from 1 species